rnacentral:rRNA from 1 species
AAGAGUUUGAUCAUGGCUCAGAUUGAACGCUGGCGGCAGGCCUAACACAUGCAAGUCGAACGGUAACAGGAAGCAGCUUGCUGCUUCGCUGACGAGUGGCGGACGGGUGAGUAAUGUCUGGGAAACUGCCUGAUGGAGGGGGAUAACUACUGGAAACGGUGGCUAAUACCGCAUAACGUCGCAAGACCAAAGAGGGGGACCUUCGGGCCUCUUGCCAUCAGAUGUGCCCAGAUGGGAUUAGCUAGUUGGUGAGGUAACGGCUCACCAAGGCGACGAUCCCUAGCUGGUCUGAGAGGAUGACCAGCCACACUGGAACUGAGACACGGUCCAGACUCCUACGGGAGGCAGCAGUGGGGAAUAUUGCACAAUGGGCGCAAGCCUGAUGCAGCCAUGCCGCGUGUAUGAAGAAGGCCUUCGGGUUGUAAAGUACUUUCAGCGGGGAGGAAGGUGUUGUGGUUAAUAACCGCAGCAAUUGACGUUACCCGCAGAAGAAGCACCGGCUAACUCCGUGCCAGCAGCCGCGGUAAUACGGAGGGUGCAAGCGUUAAUCGGAAUUACUGGGCGUAAAGCGCACGCAGGCGGUCUGUCAAGUCGGAUGUGAAAUCCCCGGGCUCAACCUGGGAACUGCAUUCGAAACUGGCAGGCUUGAGUCUUGUAGAGGGGGGUAGAAUUCCAGGUGUAGCGGUGAAAUGCGUAGAGAUCUGGAGGAAUACCGGUGGCGAAGGCGGCCCCCUGGACAAAGACUGACGCUCAGGUGCGAAAGCGUGGGGAGCAAACAGGAUUAGAUACCCUGGUAGUCCACGCCGUAAACGAUGUCUACUUGGAGGUUGUGCCCUUGAGGCGUGGCUUCCGGAGCUAACGCGUUAAGUAGACCGCCUGGGGAGUACGGCCGCAAGGUUAAAACUCAAAUGAAUUGACGGGGGCCCGCACAAGCGGUGGAGCAUGUGGUUUAAUUCGAUGCAACGCGAAGAACCUUACCUGGUCUUGACAUCCACGGAAGUUUUCAGAGAUGAGAAUGUGCCUUCGGGAACCGUG